rnacentral:tRNA from 1 species
GGGGCGUAGCUCAGCUGGCUAGAGCAGUUGCUUUGCAAGCAACAGGCCGUGGGUUCGAGUCCCAUCGCCUCCA